AGCAGCCGCUUCUGGGCAGCAACAGGCGGGAGAGAUCGUCAUGGCAGCGUCGACGGUGCGGGCUGACCAAGGCUAGCGGCUGCUCUCCCUCCGGGGAAGAUGCCAGCUUCCAGCGCGCUUCGUAGCCGAGUUGACAUUUCCCCUCGCCGAGAGCGUAGGAAGCUCCCUUGCUUAGACUGAGUUAGACCGUUUGUCUGCAUUGUCUGCUGUGGGGUUGAGCUGGGGACCUCCCCCCGCAUCAUGCCCGCCCUGCGCUCUCUCUGCCCUUUGCAAAGGGGCCCAAGCAGGACUCUGGGUGUGCAGGAGGAAGAAAAUAUACUUUUGAGCCCAGGAUUUUCCAUGCUUGCUUUGGGCCAGGGAACUGAACUGUAACAAAAAUGGAGAAAAGACCCAGAAAGCUUGUGUAAAUUGGAACCAAACCAGAGGCAUAAUUUCUAGUACAUAUUGGGUCCAAGUUGGAACUCAGCAACAGAAGUGAUGUUUCUUGGAGACCUCCAUCCUGCCUAAUCCUGCACUGUGAUCCACAUCUAUCCUGCAUUCAGUACAAAAAGCCAGAAUGCUGGUGUUGACAGGACAUCGGGACCUAUUUUUCUGACACAGAGGUUAUUUCCAUGGAGAAAACACAGCAUGUGUGAAGCAGCCUUUAUAGAUGGUGGAUUCUGCACAAGUGAUAAAUUUUAAGCUGGUGAUCAGUGACUAAGGCCAUCUGUUUUUAAUAUGCAUUAUUAUAAGUGCAUAAUGUAGGGUGAAUGUUUUCAAGUCACAACUGCCCAAAGAUAAGCCUGUAAUGCAAGAUAUUUUAGUAAACAGAAGGAAUGAAGGACCUCCUACAUUCUCAUGCCAAUGAAAAAACACAUGAAGAUUUCCCACAGGCACCAGUGCAGGGCUAGCCAAUGUGGUGACUUCCUCAUGUUGACAGAGUACAAGUCCAUCAGUAGUCCCGAAAACAUCCGGAGGGCACCAUGUUGGCUAUCCCAGCAGUUGUGGAUGAACCUUAAGUAAGAUUUGAACACGUUAACAGUGUAGAACAAGUUGGAGAGCAACUGUUACAGCAAGUUUCCUGUGAAAAUUGGGAUAUAAUGGACCACUUGGAGAGACCUGGGACCAUCUGACUACCUUCUCGUUGCGUUUGUCAUUCACUUGAUCCGCAUGGAAAAGAACUUGGGCAGCUUGCAACACCAUAGCAGCAGGUAAGCUUGGCCGAGAACAGGUGACAAAGAGAUGGCACUUCAGAACAGCAGCAGCAAAGAUGACCUAUUUACCUAUAGAUAGCCUCGCUUUGCAUCAGUGGAGUACUGGAAAUAGAGCUGGGAAUAAAGCAUAGCGUUUGCAAAAAGCACAGCCUCGGUUACGUGCUUUUACAACUUUUUUUAACUUUCAGAGACUGAACCUUGCAGGAACCUCACAUUUUCCUGGCUCAGCUUGAACUUCUUCAACUCUACGUUUCUUGGCUUGUAUCCCAAGAUUCUUCAAGCCCCAGAAAUGGAGACACUCAACAAAGUUUUAAAUACAGAGGUGGGGGGAGGGGAUGAGAAGAGAUGGGGGAAAGGCUUCUUGAUCCACCCAGGGUCAAGGGGAUGCAUGUUAAGUACAUACUACCAGUCAUGUGCAUUAUUAUUUUUUUGUUUAAAGCAGCUUUUAAACAAAAGUUCUGAAGUCUCUUGGGAGAAGAGCAGAUACUCAUAAAUAACAAUUGUUUCUUCCUAGUUUCAUAUUUCAGGAUCUGGAAGUAGCAUGGAUUUAAUUUUCAGUGAAAAGAAUAGGGGGAGAUAGAGCCCCCCCCCAAUUUAUGUUGUUGCCAUGGCUCAUUUAAUGGAGGCAGCUAAGUCAAGAGGGCCCAGACCUCCAACCUGAAGGGCUCUCCAACAGAGGCAAUUAUUUUUCUGCCUCCCGAGUGCGAAACAAGAAUAGGAAACCUGUGGCCCUGUUGCUGGACUACAACUUGCAUCAUCCCUGCCCAUCGGCUGUACUGGCUGGCGCUGCUGGGAACGAGUCUGAGAACAUCUGGAGGGCCACAGGUUCCUGUUAAAAAUGCACCGUUUCAGAUAACCCACCACGACUGUAUUGAGGGGAAAAUGGGAUUCCGCAUUGGCCCUUGGUUGGUUCCCCCUACUUCCAUCCGUGUAUCAUCCAUCCAUAUAUAGGGAUGGGAAAGAAACAGACCUGCUCUGCUGCAGGCACCUUCACUGCACUCUUUUGGCACCUGCUAGAAACAUUCUGGUUUAGACAAGCGCACCCAGAUGCUUAUUUUAAUCCGUUUCAGUAUUUUAAUUUGUGUGUUUCAAAGUAUGGUUGUAUUUGGCCCCCCUUAAUUUUCUUGUUUUAACUUUUUGUAAAGCGGUUAACCCCCCCCUCAACUAAGCGGUGUAUAAAUCUUAUGAAAUAAAUAUGAGGGGGGUGGGGAGACUCCGCUUCUGCCCUCAUCCCUCCACUGCGUU